UCGAGGAUCUUCGGCAAUGGGCGCAAGCCUGGCCGAGCGACGCCGCGUGUGCGAUGAAGGCCUUCGGGUUGUAAAGCACUGUCGAGGGGGAGAAAGCCGCAAGGUUUGAUCGACCCCUGGAGGAAGCACGGGCUAAGUUCGUGCCAGCAGCCGCGGUAAGACGAACCGUGCAAACGUUAUUCGGAUUCACUGGGCUUAAAGGGCGCGUAGGCGGGUCAUCAAGUCUGGGGUGAAUACUUCGGCUCAACCGGAGAACAGCCUUGGAUACUGGUGGCCUCGAGGGAGAUAGGGGUGCGUGGAACUUCCGGUGGAGCGGUGAAAUGCGUAGAUAUCGGAAGGAACGCCGGUGGCGAAAGCGGCGCACUGGAUCUCUUCUGACGCUGAGGCGCGAAAGCUAGGGGAGCGAACGGGAUUAGGAUACCCCCGGUAGUCCUAGCCCUAAACGAUGGGGUACUAGGUAGUAGGCCGCAUGGGUUUACUGCCGAAGCAAAAGUGAUAAGUACCCCG
rnacentral:rRNA from 1 species